AAUCUUAAAAUGCAAUGAUAUUUACUGAAGGCAGUAAAAAGGCUUUAAUAAUCUGUUGAAUUUGAAGAAUUGUGUUUGCUUAGAAAGUAAUAAACGAGACUCCUGUGAACACUUCAACUAUGGAUUGUAUGUUCGAAUCGUCUAUUUUUUGUGUAUACAUCAUUAAGGAAUGCCAUCUUUGAAUUUACAUUACACAGGUGAUUUCCUAUUGCUUUUUACCCCAAUGCAUUCGGAUCAUUGAAUGUAGGAAACUACCAUUCUGCCAAAUUCACCUUGCUGUGCGAUGUCGUAUAAUAACCUUCAAAUAUCAAAUGAAGGCAUGAGUCAAUACCACUUGGAGCAACUAUAAUCCCUCCUUGACCAUAUCUGGAACAUCGCAAUUGCAUCAAAAUGGAGAUAUUUUAGUUGAACUAAAUAGAUAUCUUUGAAGAAAAAUUCAUUAUUACUGCAAAGGAAGAUACAUAAAAGUGGACCCUAUCCCAUAUAUACUAAUCUAACUGCAUAUUAGUACCAGAGAAAUGCCUAUUCCUGCUUCAAGAGCUUCUUAAAGCAUUGAUGGAUAUUGGCUUUAUGGUUAUUUUGCUGUAUGCUAGUACGGAACUCCAAGUUCUAUGGAUGAAAGGGCGACUCAGCAAGUUUGCUGUGAGCUGAACCAUACCUUUCUCAUCUGGGUGAUAUUAAUGAUUUUAAGUUUUUAAUAUUUAAAUAUAUCUUGAAUGUGUUUUAAGUAUAGUUCACCAACCUUUUGAUUUUGCAUUAAGAAAUACAAACUUUAUAACAAAAUACAUGUAUAUCUAAAAUACCCGAGGUUAAAUAUACGUAAUCUGACAUUUGAUCAUUAAAUUGAAAACUAGACUUAAUAUUAGGAAAUAGAUUUUACGAAACAUAAUUAUGAGCUAAAGUGUAACUAUCGUCUUUCGCUUUGCUUCUUCCGAGUUAAGACACAUACACAAAUUUGUACUGAUUGUUUCAAAGUAUAACUACUGAGUCAACUUUUGUAAAAAUAGCCGAUAUUUGAAGGAAUGUAUUCACUAUUUGCUAAAUAGAUUAACCAAAUGCUCCUUAUUGGACUCAAUAGGACUUCACACAUUAGGACUUUCAUGCCGUUUUUGAUAGUGGAAUCUUUCGUUUUUAUAAACAUACUUCAGGCCACUAAUGUAAAUUUGAGUUUUAAAGAUAUACUAAUAGUCAUCUUGUUGGUAUCAAAUCGUUUACCUCUCAAUUCUCUCGCUAUCAGUUGAAAUAUACUGAAUUCUCCAUUGAUACAUCAUUUUGUGGAUUGGUCUUAUUCUUGCCGAGUUCCUAUGUAGUGAUGUUUUUCUCAAGUUGAAGACUUCAUAAUAUUGUAAAUUUUAGUAUUCUAAGUAAUCGCUCAAUUUAAUGUUACAUCUACCUUUUUGUGAAGUAUCUAUUGGUUUGCUUUAUUGCUGGUUCUAUUGUUAGUCAUCCAUAUUACAUAAUAGAACUGCAGUAGUUUGGUGGUAAGGCCUUUGCUUGGGAACCGAAGGGUUUCAAGUUCGAAACUCGAUUCCACAGAAGAACCGUCGUGUAAACGGGUCUGGUGCACGUUAAAUCCAUCGUGGCCAAACGUCCUUCCACUAGUGUGGUGUGGAAGUUUAGAGAGGGUGUUUGUUCAGGUGUCGUCCUCUUCAUCUGAUCGAGGUUCCAAAUUACGAGGUCCGUCCCAAAAGAGCCUUAGUGUUGCUGUAUAACGGGACGUUAAUAGACUGAGGUUACAUAAUCGGGUUUUUCUCUGAAUUGUUAUGAACAUAACUACUGAAUUUUUGUGUUUCUUAUGACACUUGCCACGGACAAGCCCGCUGUUCGGAGACAGCCGAUUAAAGCCUGAGGGGAGCGCCUCUUGUUUUUAUCGUAGAGCCAACUAGGGCCAAGAGUACGACUUGACUACACACACAUCACAAUCGUUUUUAAGGGCCUGACUUCAUUCACGCAUUUCAUUCACUCAUCCACAGAUCAUAAUUUAGACCUGAAUCAGAGGAUCGAAUCCAGUACCCCAGUGGUAUUGCUCUCGACAUGGAGGACUUUAAUUUUUGUCUUUCUCCAAUGGAUCUUCACAUUUACUCUUUCGAAUAUAUCAACGACCAAUUUUGAUUCAUUAUCAGUUUUUAAUCAAUAUGUAAAAACGUGCCUUUUGUUAGCAAGCAUCUUGAUUUUUUAUUAGGUAUCGGAAACAAUUUCCAUCCCUAUACAAUAUCACUACAUCCCAUCCCUAUUAAAAUAUCUAGACAUCAGUGAUUGUUAGUAUAAUUUUUGG